rnacentral:miRNA from 1 species
CAGCCCUUCUGCUAUCCACAAC